rnacentral:tRNA from 1 species
GCCGUUGUAGCUCAGUGGUAGAGCGUUUGUCUUGUAAACAAAAGGCCUCUGGUUCAAACCCAGACUGCGGCA